ACAGGAAGAAACAGGAAGCAGAGAUAUGGCUCAUGCAGGUGGGCAGCUGUGCUCAUCCCCAUUCCCAGGCAGGGAAGCUGAGGCGCAGAGGCCCUUGGGAGGUUUGUCCAAGGCUGGAGAAGCUCUGGAGCAGAAAUGGGAAGAGAAGAAAGCACAUCUUGUGAUUGCACAACCACGGCUCCGUCCCUGGAGGCCAGCAUGUGGCAUCAAGGAAGCUAUUGGACCCUGGCUAAAGCACUGGCAAUUUUCUCUCCUCUCUAGCUGCUCUGUCUUGCACUGCCUUAUGAGGAUGCGACACUGCGUGGAUAUGAGAAGCCGGAAAGGACAGGCAUGGCAUGGAGUUUACUUUGCCAACAUUGAAAGUGCUGGGAGCUACUGAACUGGACAGCGGCUUCAAAUGCCAGUGACCUCCGGGAGCUGGGAGUGAACGUUGUAAUUGAUAUAAGGAUGGAAGCUGCUGCACUACAAAGUGGCAUUUUGGAUACUGUGGGAACAGGUGAUGUGAAGCAUCCUCGGCGAGAUCUGUUUCCCUCCACUCUUUUGACUCCUGUCAGAGAACUGGCAUCAAACAGAAGAUCUAUUUUUCGCCCUGCUCUGGUUGUCUGCAGCAUCUGGAUAAGCUGAAGACAGCAUUUGCUAAACUGAAAAGUAUUUAGGGAGAAGUUCUCUGUCUGUACCUCGCCUCUCAGCAGCUGGACCAUUUAUGGAUGCUCUGUAAGGGCAGUGUACAAUGACUUGCAGCAUUCCUCCAUGAGAAGCUUUUGUGGGAUUUCUGUCUUAUCAUUAGCACGUUAUAAAAAUGUCAACUAUUUCCAAACCUUUCAAGUUUCAUUGGAAGGACUACUCUGAAUUUCAGCCCUGAAGUCGGUUGAUGUGCGGUUUGAUCAUCUGUUCCUCCUCUCGUACAGAUGCUCUCAAUGUGGGCAGCAGAGCAGCGCUGUCACAGCAGAUUAAUGGCAGAAUGCAGCACUGCUUGUGGAAGCAGAGUAACUAAAGACCAACAGUGAUGUUGUAUCAUCUGAAUAAACCCUGAAAUU
rnacentral:lncRNA from 7 species